GAUUAAAUGGCUGAAGUUUAGGCAGUAGACUGUAAAUUUACUUAUAAGAAAUAAUUCUUUUUAAUCA
rnacentral:tRNA from 1 species